rnacentral:lncRNA from 1 species
GUAAAUUGUAGGUGCAACGGAGGCAGAAAAAAUAAACUGAGAUUGUGUUCAGGAGUUUGAAAGCCCUACUAUGCGGUCUCAAUUUCAAAUCAAUCGACCUGAGGAUGAAGAAACCAGCUAAACGACAAAGAUUUAUCAGUCAUGGAAAAAUACCGCUCCCGAUUCAUUAGGACUUUUUUGUGCCGAAGCCUCUCUCAAGUGCUCCUCCAUAGCUUGUUGCCUUUUCCGCCAAUACUCCUCGAUUUUCUCUUUAGUUAAAGAGGUCCUGCUUCGAGUCAGCACUGCACAUAGAUUUGCACCAUGUCAAAAAACUACAAUCUAUCGUUAUCUUAACGAAAAAUGAAGUAAAAUAAUAAAACACAAACAGAAGAAAAACUAGUACACACGUUAUCCUACUGUACAGCGCACAUGUUCGAUCCCGUUUUCGAUAACAUCACCGACAUCAUGACAGGGGCUCCCUUCUGCUCCAGUUACCAUCCAACAAGCCUCGUUCCAACCAGCAAGCAAGUCGCAUUUUUAUACUAUAAUCAGCACUACUCAGUAAUCCUAAAACCAAACUCAACAAGUCCACCUGAAUUGGUUACACUUCACUGACCACAACCGCACACACAUCGCGAGCCGUACCUUUCUCUUCGUUCCAGGGAUUGUUAUCCCAUCCUGCCAUCAAAGAGCCCAUGGGUACUCAACAAUUCCAAAACGACAAGGUCAGACGACAACUUCUUCCCACGAACAACCUUCAACUCCCUCCAAUAAGCCUCCUAAUACUAAAUUGCA